UACAGAGGGGGCAAGCGUUAUUCGGAAUUAUUGGGCGUAAAGGGCGCGUAGGCGGCCUGGCAAGUGGAAGGUGAAAUCCCUCGGCUUAACCGAGGAACUGCCCUCCAAACUGCUUGGCUUGAGUCCGGGAGAGGUGAGUGGAACUGCGAGUGUAGAGGUGAAAUUCGUAGAUAUUCGCAAGAACACCAGUGGCGAAGGCGGCUCACUGGCCCGGUACUGACGCUGAGGAGCGAAAGCGUGGGGAGCAAACAGG
rnacentral:rRNA from 1 species